rnacentral:rRNA from 1 species
AAACUACGAUUAGAUACCCUAUUAUUUAAGAGGUUAAAUUUAAUUGCUCAGGUAGUAGUAGAUAAAGGCUUGAAACUUAAAGGAUUUGACGGUAAUUUAAACUAACCAGAGGAACUUGUCCCGUAAUCGAUAUCCCUCGUUAAACUUUACUUAAAAUAGUAAGCAGCUUAUAUACCGCCGUCAUAAAAUUAUAUUAAGAAAUUAUGAUUGAGAAUUCUGAGAAAUAUGUCAGGUCAAGGUGUAGCCUAUAUUUAAGAGGAGAUGAGUUACAAUAAGAAUAUUUAAACGGAACAGAAAAUGAAAUUUUUUUGUAAAGGUGGAUUUGGUAGUAAUUUGCUAUAUAAGAAAGCCUAUGAAUAUAGCGCU